CGAAAGCCUGACGGAGCAAUACCGCGUGAGGGAGGAAGGCUCUUGGGUUGUAAACCUCUUUUCUCAGGGAAGAAAAAAAUGACGGUACCUGAGGAAUAAGCAUCGGCUAUCUCCGUGCCAGCAGCCGCGGUAAUACGGAGGAUGCAAGCGUUAUCCGGAAUGAUUGGGCGUAAAGGGUCCGCAGGUGGCUAUGUAAGUCUGCUGUUAAAGAACUUAGCUUAACUAGGUAAAAGCAGUGGGAACUACAAGGCUAGAGUGCGUUCGGGGUAGAGGGAAUUCCUGGUGUAGCGGUGAAAUGCGUAGAUAUCAGGAAGAACACCAGUGGCGAAGGCGCUCUACUAGGCCGCAACUGACACUGAGGGACGAAAGCUAGGGGAGCG
rnacentral:rRNA from 1 species